rnacentral:rRNA from 1 species
UACGGAGGGGGCUAGCGUUGUUCGGAAUUACUGGGCGUAAAGCGCACGUAGGCGGCUUUGCAAGUUAGAGGUGAAAGCCUGGGGCUCAACUCCGGAAUUGCCUUUAAAACUGCAUCGCUAGAAUUGUGGAGAGGUAAGUGGAAUUCCGAGUGUAGAGGUGAAAUUCGUAGAUAUUCGGAAGAACACCAGUGGCGAAGGCGACUUACUGGACACAUAUUGACGCUGAGGUGCGAAAGCGUGGGGAGCAAACAGG